AGAGUUUGAUCAUGGCUCAGGACGAACACUGGCGGCACGCUUAACACAUGCAAGUCGAACGAGAGAAGAGGAGCUUGCUUUUCUGAUCUAGUGGCGGACGGGUGAGUAACACGUGAGCAAUCUGCCUUUCAGAGGGGGAUACCGAUUGGAAACGAUCGUUAAUACCGCAUAACAUAAUUGAACCGCAUGAUUUGAUUAUCAAAGAUUUAUCGCUGAAAGAUGAGCUCGCGUCUGAUUAGCUAGUUGGUAAGGUAACGGCUUACCAAGGCGACGAUCAGUAGCCGGACUGAGAGGUUGAUCGGCCACAUUGGGACUGAGACACGGCCCAGACUCCUACGGGAGGCAGCAGUGGGGAAUAUUGCACAAUGGAGGAAACUCUGAUGCAGCGAUGCCGCGUGAGGGAAGAAGGUUUUAGGAUUGUAAACCUCUGUCUUCAGGGACGAAAAAAGACGGUACCUGAGGAGGAAGCUCCGGCUAACUACGUGCCAGCAGCCGCGGUAAUACGUAGGGAGCGAGCGUUGUCCGGAAUUACUGGGUGUAAAGGGAGCGUAGGCGGGAUCGCAAGUCAGAUGUGAAAACUAUGGGCUUAACCCAUAAACUGCAUUUGAAACUGUGGUUCUUGAGUGAAGUAGAGGUAAGCGGAAUUCCUAGUGUAGCGGUGAAAUGCGUAGAUAUUAGGAGGAACAUCAGUGGCGAAGGCGGCUUACUGGGCUUUAACUGACGCUGAGGCUCGAAAGCGUGGGGAGCAAACAGGAUUAGAUACCCUGGUAGUCCACGCCAUAAACGAUGAUUACUAGGUGUGGGGGGACUGACCCCUUCCGUGCCGCAGCAAACGCAAUAAGUAAUCCACCUGGGGAGUACGACCGCAAGGUUGAAACUCAAAGGAAUUGACGGGGGCCCGCACAAGCAGUGGAGUAUGUGGAUUAAUUCGAAGCAACGCGAAGAACCUUACCAGGUCUUGACAUCGUAUGCAUAGCUCAGAGAUGAGUGAAAUCUCUUCGGAGACAUAUAGACAGGUGGUGCAUGGUUGUCGUCAGCUCGUGUCGUGAGAUGUUGGGUUAAGUCCCGCAACGAGCGCAACCCUUACUGUUAGUUGCUACGCAAGAGCACUCUAGCAGGACUGCCGUUGACAAAACGGAGGAAGGUGGGGAUGACGUCAAAUCAUCAUGCCCCUUAUGACCUGGGCCUCACACGUACUACAAUGGCUGUCAACAGAGGGAAGCAAAGCCGCGAGGUGGAGCGAACCCCUAAAAGCAGUCUUAGUUCGGAUUGUAGGCUGCAACCCGCCUACAUGAAGUCGGAAUUGCUAGUAAUCGCAGAUCAGCAUGCUGCGGUGAAUACGUUCCCGGGCCUUGUACACACCGCCCGUCACGCCAUGGGAGUCGGUAACACCCGAAGCCUGUAGUCUAACCGCAAGGAGGACGCAGUCGAAGGUGGGAUUGAUGACUGGGGUGAAGUCGUAACAAGGCA
rnacentral:rRNA from 1 species